rnacentral:rRNA from 1 species
UACGGGGGGACAAGCGUUGUUCGGAAUUACUGGGCGUAAAGGGCUCGUAGGCGGCCCACUAAGUCAAACGUGAAAUCCCUCGGCUUAACCGGGGAACUGCGUCUGAUACUGGAUGGCUUGAGUUUGGGAGAGGGAUGCGGAAUUCCAGGUGUAGCGGUGAAAUGCGUAGAUAUCUGGAGGAACACCGGUGGCGAAGGCGGCAUCCUGGACCAACACUGACGCUGAGGAGCGAAAGCCAGGGGAGCAAACGGG